UACGGAGGGUGCAAGCGUUAUCCGGAUUCACUGGGUUUAAAGGGUGCGUAGGCGGGCAGGUAAGUCCGUGGUGAAAUCUCUGAGCUUAACUCAGAAACUGCCAUGGAUACUAUUUGUCUUGAAUAUUGUGGAGGUAAGCGGAAUAUGUCAUGUAGCGGUGAAAUGCUUAGAUAUGACAUAGAACACCAAUUGCGAAGGCAGCUUACUACACAGUUAUUGACGGCUGAGGCACGAAAGCGUGGGGAUCAAACAGG
rnacentral:rRNA from 1 species